AUUGAACGCUGGCGGCAGGCCUAACACAUGCAAGUCGAGCGAGCGGCGGACGGGUGAGUAAUGCCUGGGCAUUGCCCGGUCGAGGGUGAUAAAAGUUGGAGACGACUGCUAAUCACGCAUACGAUUGGAUUGACCAGGUGCGAUUGGCUGGUUGGUGAGUUAAUGGCUCACCAAGGCGACGAACCCUAGCUGGUCUGCGAGGUUGAUCGGCCACACUGGAACUGAGACACGGUCCAGACUCCUACGGGAGGCAGCAGUGGGGAAUAUUGCACAAUGGGCGAAACCCUGAUGCAGCCAUGCCGCGUGGGUGAAGAAGGCCUUCGGUUUGUAAAGCACUGUCAGCGAGGAGGCGUUAAUCGCAGAAGAAGUACCGGCUAACUCCGUGCCAGCAGCCGCGGUAAUAC
rnacentral:rRNA from 1 species